UGCGUUCAGCACGCGCUUGUCAAUUUUUAUCAGAACAAGGAUAUGAGGUUAUCAAUGUCCAAGGUGGCAUGGAUGCCGUUGAAUAAGAAAAAUUUCCUUCGAAACCUUUAAAAAAAUGGGAAGGCUUCGAAGGAUUUUUUU
rnacentral:sRNA from 1 species